rnacentral:tRNA from 2 species
GCAGCGGUAUCGAAGUGGUCAUAACGGGGCUGACUCGAAAUCAGUUUGCGGGCAACCGCACGAGGGUUCGAAUCCCUCCCGCUGCGCCA